GCUGUUGAGUGAUGAGGCCGUGGAAUGAGUGCUGGGCACAGCGCCCGAGUCAGACUGGAAAUGUUCCUUGCUGCCUGCCUUCUGAGAAUAGC
ensembl:snoRNA SNORD83A small nucleolar RNA, C/D box 83A